GGGCAGCUACAUGCUAAGAGGAAGAGAAAACCAGGAGAAAACCUCAGAGUUUACCUGUGAAAAGGAAAAAAACAGUUGGAGCACUUACCCACUGGAGGUCCGGAGCCAAGUGACUGAACGAAGGAGAGAGUUACGUCGGUAAGACGAGUCAAUUAUCCGGCGGAGAAAAAAACCUUGUUGACGCUUACCGUCGUCGUCUAUGCUAAUGCUAGCUCUGUGCCUAACAGGCUAACCACUUGGCUUUCACCCAGAGAGCCGCGGCAAGGUCCGACAUCGGCGUGCUCCGCCUUGAUACACAGAGAGCAACGGUGGAAGCUGAAUUAGUGAGGAUGACUCCUGCUCCUGUCAUCUCUAAGCUCCUCACACAUCUUUACCUGCACAUGAGGAAAAUCACUCCUGUAGAAUGCAGAUGUUCAGAGGGAGAUGAUGCCACAUCUGGUCCAGCUGAUGGAAGGUCUUGAAGUUCUCUGACUGGCCUCGACUGAAGAUGGUCGUCUCACUGGAUUUAAGGUUCAGAUGCUCAGUAGCAAACUCCACCAAUGAGCCAACUGGGAAGCAUUAGGUUUAUUAAAUGUUGCUAUGAAGGUUUCGCUGUUUUUCUUUGUGAAUGCAAUGAGCUCCAACUGAAACUUGAAUUAGAACUUAGAAGUAAAUCCUUCCAUCUGAAAGGAUUUAGUUGCAUUAAUAACCUCAUAACAUUCUAAUUUUUAUUCCAGUCUUGGUUGGAAAUGGAAUCUCUGUAUUGAUUCAGGUAAAAACUGAACUUCACAGCAUGUUGGAGCAAAACAACCAGAUGAAAACUGUGAUGGUGUUGGAUUGUCAGACCGUAAUGUUGCAGCUCAAAGCAGCUUUUCUAGCUCAGUUCAUUCUGACAUUCAGCUAUGAAUCAACACAGCAGAUGGUGAUCCAUGCUGUGGAAGUCUCACAUCUCCUGAUUUAAUGGAGCUGCUUUGCACUUUUUACACUGUUUAUUCACCAACACUUUAUUUAAUAAAAGUCCCAUCUAGUUUUUAUGAGGAAUGUGAUGUUUUAAUUUCUCUGUGAAUAACUGCAGUCUAAUGGAACAGCUGGAAUUGUAACAUCUGUCCUGAUAUUGAUCAUGAAGUAUUGAUCAGAAUACUUAUGGUCAGCAGUCAUCCCUGAAGUUUUACAUUAAAAUCUUUACUUGUGUUGUGAACUUUGGUAAGAAGCAGAAACUUUAGCGUUGCCAUGGAUACAUGAGUGUUAAAUUCUGUCCAUGUUUCCAUUUUUGGAAAUUCAGUCCAGCAGAUGAGUUUGUUUUUACUGCCAGCUACAUUCAGUCUGAGAUAUUAAGAAUAAAUAAAUAAAUGUGCAUAAUGUGGAAAUGAACAGAUUCUAUUUUUAUUUAUUCCUACAGCUGCUACAUGGAAAGUUCCAGAAUGUGGAGGAAUUUAGUCUCACAAUCACAGACAACAAAUAUUAUCUGAAAGUCGGGUUAUUGUUGUUUAUCAGCACAAUACAAAAAGAUUCAUGUUAGAAAUAUUCCAGUUAAGACUCUAGAAUAUCAGGAUUUAUGUAAAUUUACCUCAAUAAUAUGAUUGUUCAGGUUAAGAUUGUACAGUGAUAUUUAUUAUGCAAGUUUAGCUGAUUAAAGUUUAUGACUCUGCACUACAAUAUUAUUUAUUAUUUAAAUUGACAUCAUUAUUAUAAUAUUUAGGGUCAGACUCUACAGUAUUGAGAUUAAGAAAUCAAAUAUUCUAUAAAAUGUAAAUACACUGAACUAAUCUGGAUAUAUUUAAGUGAGACUCUACAAUAUUAUUUAUGACACAAAUCUAUCUAAAUCAACAUUUUAAUCAUUUUUUACUCCAAACAUUGACUGGACUGAUUUAAAUAUUAAAAUCACUCCUUUCUAAUCCUCUGCUGUACGUUCAAACCUGAGGCCUUAAAUAGAAACACACAAGUAUCUGAUUGAAGGAACUUCUGCAGAGUCCUGGUUCCAGAACAUGAUGAUAGAAUUAUAGACAAACUUUAACAAAAGCUGCCUGAGAGUUUACAGGUUUUUAUGUUAGAUUUCUUCAGUAAUUUAAUGAGAGUUAUCAGCAAAAAUCAGGUGUUCAUUUGAUGAACUUCAUUUCCUAAAACAUCCAGAAUUGGAGCUCAUAUCUUUGGCAGCUGUAAAGUUUCUGCUCCUUCAAAGUUCACAACACAAUGAAUGAAUUCCUAAAACACUCUCAAUGCUGGAGAGCGUUUGAUGCUGAAGCAGUGACCAGUUUUUCUGUUUCUUCUCUGGAGAUGCACAAUGAGGGACGUCUGCAGAGACUGAGAAAGAGUCUCAGACUUCAUUGAAGACUACAAGGAGAAAAACUAUCAGACAGCAGACGGCUGCAUUCAAGUCUGUAGCUGCUGAAUUCAUGGAUGAAUCAUCUGGCACUAGAGAGGAAGACCAUCAAACAUCCACAUCAGCUGAUGGAGGUCCAAGAGUCUCACCCAACAAACAACCUACAGAGUGAAGACCUCCAAUCUGAUUGGACGGCCUCCUAUUCAGCCACAUUUUAGGCUGUUAGAUUGUUCCAGAUAAGACAAGUACAAGAUUCUUCAGAGCCGUUCUACCACGAGCCUGACAGGAAGAACUCCAACAGCUACUGAAUGUUCCUGUGGUCCCCUCAAGGCUACAGGAGGAGUCCUACGAGG